UACGGAGGAUGCAAGCGUUAUCCGGAAUGAUUGGGCGUAAAGCGUCCGCAGGUGGCGAUGUAAGUCUGCUGUUAAAGAGUCUAGCUCAACUAGAUAAGAGCAGUGGAAACUACAUAGCUAGAGUACGUUCGGGGCAGAGGGAAUUCCUGGUGUAGCGGUGAAAUGCGCAGAUAUCAGGAGGAACACCGGUGGCGAAAGCGGCGUGCUGGACCUCUGCUGACGCUGAGGCGCGGAAAGCCAGGGAGCGAACGGG
rnacentral:rRNA from 1 species